AACAGAUUACGCUGGCGGAUGCUACCCAUGAUUAUCGAACGAAGGCUUCGGCCUUAGUGGUACACGGGUGCGUAACGCGUGGGAAUCUAGCCCUACAGGUAUCGGAAUAACUAUCGAGGAAACAUGAUAGCUAAUACCGGAUAGAUAUCAGCAACGACUCAACAGAUAUACAUCUGACCUGCACGGACUGCAGCCCUGCGAUAGCGAUAUAGACAUAGCUUCUGGCUGCUGUGUACAAAGAGCAGCAUCCUAAGGACUGACGAAUCCCUUAGACUGUGUCUGACGCAGGAUGAUCAGCCACACUGGGACUGAGACACGGCCCAUACUCCUACGGGAGUGCUCAGUGGGGAAUAUUGGAACUGGGCCAAAGCCUGUCUCCAUCACUGCCGCCUGAGAGAUUGAAGGCCAAAGGGUCGUCAAGCUC
rnacentral:rRNA from 1 species